GAGGAGGAGGAGGAGGAGGAGGAAGAAGACUCCCCUGUAGGCCAAAAAUAGGGAGAGAUAUAAGGGAGAGAGAGCAGAGGGAGAGAAGAAGUCGGGAGGGAAGGAAGGGAGAGGAAACAGCAUCUGGAGUCAACCAGUCAACCAGUCACCUCCUGCCAAGACUACUAACUGAAGUUGAUCUUAUGCAUUACGUCAGUCAGUCAGUUAGUCAGUCAGCCAUUCAGUAGGUCAGUCAGUCAGUCAGUAAGUAAGUCAGUUAGUCAGUCAGCCAUUCAGUCAGUCAGUCAGUCAGUUUCUUAGCUAGUCAAAACACACACACACACACACACACACACACACACACACACACACACUAACAGUCAGGUCGCGUGUUGUCAAUAUCCUUUUGAUAAAUAAUAAAUGAACUAAGAAU